UGCAGAGGGUGCAAGCGUUGUUCGGAAUUAUUGGGCGUAAAGCGCGUGUAGGCGGCUUUGCAAGUCGGGUGUGAAAGCCCUCAGCUCAACUGAGGAAGUGCGCCCGAAACUGCAGAGCUUGAGUACCGGAGAGGGUGGCGGAAUUCCCCAAGUAGAGGUGAAAUUCGUAGAUAUGGGGAGGAACACCGGUGGCGAAGGCGGCGACCUGGGCCAAUAUUGACGCUGAGGUGCGAAAGCGUGGGGAGCAAACAGG
rnacentral:rRNA from 1 species